CACCUGCGCCACGAGUGGUGAUCGCGUUUAUUGGGCCUAAAGCGUCCGUAGCCGGAUUGAUAACUCUUUUGUGAAAUUGUCAGGCUUAACCUGACACCGUGCAGGAGAAACUGUCGAUCUUGGGACCGGAGAGAAGUCAGAAGUAUGCCUGGGGGAGCGGUAAAAUGCUAUAAUCCCUGGUAGACUACCUGUGGCGAAGGCGUCUGACUAGAACGGAUCUGACGGUGAGGGACGAAAGCUAGGGGAGCAAUCCGGAUUAGAUACCCCCGUA
rnacentral:rRNA from 1 species